GUACAUCACCACCAAGGCAGGUGAAAGAAAAAUAUGCCAGAGGAAUUGUGGCUUUGUUCCCGUACCUCAGUGACCCCUUUUCCAAAAAUGGCUACGAACAUUAUUAUGAUGGUGAAAGCGGUACUGGGUACUUGGCAUGGAGAGUCAAAACUAUACAGAGAGGCUUCGCUAAAGAACGACGUGCAUCAUUUGAAGGACAAGGAACGUCUGCUGAAGUGGGAUCUGGAGGACCAACUGUAAGACGGCAGUCAGAGUUUAAUCCAGA